GAUGAACGCUGGCGGCGUGCCUAAUACAUGCAAGUCGAGCGAACAGACGAGGAGCUUGCUCCUCUGAUGUUAGCGGCGGACGGGUGAGUAACACGUGGAUACCUACCUAUAAGACUGGGAUAACUUCGGGAAACCGGAGCUAAUACCGGAUAACAUGUUGAACCGCAUGGUUCAACAGUGAAAGACGGUCUUGCUGUCACUUAUAGAUGGAUCCGCGCCGCAUUAGCUAGUUGGUAAGGUAACGGCUUACCAAGGCAACGAUGCGUAGCCGACCUGAGAGGGUGAUCGGCCACACUGGAACUGAGACACGGUCCAGACUCCUACGGGAGGCAGCAGUAGGGAAUCUUCCGCAAUGGGCGAAAGCCUGACGGAGCAACGCCGCGUGAGUGAAGAAGGUCUUCGGAUCGUAAAACUCUGUUAUUAGGGAAGAACAAAUGUGUAAGUAACUAUGCACGUCUUGACGGUACCUAAUCAGAAAGCCACGGCUAACUACGU
rnacentral:rRNA from 1 species